rnacentral:rRNA from 1 species
UACAUGGGGUGCAAACGUUGCUCGGAAUUAUUGGGCGUAAAGCGCACGUAGGCGGUUUGUUAAGUCGGAUGUGAAAUCCCUCGGCUCAACUGAGGAAGUGCAUCCGAAACUGGCAGGCUUGAGUACUAAAGAGGGUCGCGGAAUUCCCGGUGUAGAGGUGAAAUUCGUAGAUAUCGGGAGGAACACCGGUGGCGAAGGCGGCGACCUGGGUAGAUACUGACGCUGAGGCGCGAAAGCGUGGGUAGCAAACGGG